UACGGGGGGAGCAAGCGUUGUUCGGAUUUACUGGGCGUAAAGGCGCGUAGGCGGUCAGCACAAGUCAGUUGUGAAAUCUCCGGGCUUAACUCGGAACGGUCAAGUGAUACUGUCGUGCUAGAGUACAGAAGGGGCAACUGGAAUUCUCGGUGUAGCGGUGAAAUGCGUAGAUAUCGAGAGGAAGACCAGUGGCGAAGGCGGGUCUCUGGACAGUUCCUGACACUGAGGCACGAAGGCCAGGGGGAGCAAACGGG
rnacentral:rRNA from 1 species